UCUAAAGUAAAACCUCCUAUCCACCGAGUGGCUUCUUCCGAUGGCCCCUCCCUACAGCCCUUGGCACCCCUUGAUCUGUGUUCUAUCUCUAUGAAAGGUAAUUUAUUUGUAACUCUCUUAUUUAUAACAGAUUCCUUCCCUGACCCUAAUGGUCUGCCCUUUUAAGUGCAUAAUGCAUCUUUUUUACUCUUUGAAGUAACGCUCUGACGGCCAGGAGCAAAGUAACUGGACUUUAAAAGGUUGAGGGUAACGGCUGAGCAGUGAAGAAAAGCUAGCGGGCAACGCUGUUGCCAUGGGGGGCAGCUGCUGGCUUUUCUCAGGAGCACAACAAGUAAUUCAGGGCUAAUAAGAGAUUUAAGGAAGAGUGAAUUUGGAUCAAAAACAGGAGAAAGACUCUGGCACCUCAACCAGACCUUAACGUUCCCAUGUACGUAUUUGUACUUCUCUCGGAUCAAACCCCACAAGGAGCUGGAUGUACGGUUGAGAGGACGUAUCCACAUAUCAAAGAGGUGAGCGGUACCGGGCACGGUGCUCAUCACUUCUCACUGCACCCCCGCCCCCGCCCGUCUCCCCAGCCAACGGACCAUGAAACCAUCCACCGAGGAUGCUUCCUGGGGCUCUGACGGGGAAGCUGCAGACGGAAGGGCUACAGACUGGAGGCACCAUCGGCAGUGGAAGCGAUGGGCACUGAGACAGGGCUGACUUACCAUCAAAUCCUUGGUGGUGCUUUUCCUUUCAUUAGUCCUAUUUGUCAAGGAGCCUUGGAGAAGGAAGUUGCGGUUAAAUGUUUUAAUGGUGGUCACUGAAGAUGCCUCAAUGUUUUCGGCUAAAAGGAAACACAUGGAAAUCUAAAUUUCUGGUUUGGCAUCAUCGUAAGCGGCUCCUAAAUCCAGGGAAAGUGUUCAAAAUGCCCAGUGGAUGAGGAUGCCACCCCGGCAUUGCUGGACUCCCUUCUGGGCGGGGCGCUGUGUUAGAUGCCUUUGGUGUCCUGCCCACGUUUCCCUGACAUCACCGCACAUUCUGUCAUUCAGCACAUUCCGGAAGCAUGUGACCACAAGCACCGUCACUCCCUUGGCUCAUGCACGGGGUGGGGCAGAAGCACCAGGGGAUUAAUGCCUCCCCACCCCCACCGGAAACUUCAGGGGCUGAGGGCUGACAGCUGAUAGGCCUCAUCUUCCUGUUCAUUGGGCAGAAAACUCUGAGGUGCAGUCAAUACUGUCUCCCAGGAAGUCCCCAGCAGGAUUCAGCCUCAUUUGCCCAGAGAAGUAAGCUAUGAACUAAAUUGCACUGUACCGGGGUACCUGGGUGGCUCAGUCUGAUUCCCGAUUUCAGCUCCGGUCAUGAUCUCGCGGUUCAUGAGUUCGAGCCCUGCAUCGGGCUCUGUGCUGACAGUGCAGAGCCUGCUUGGGGAUUCUCUCUCCUCUCUCUCUCUCUCUCUCUCUGCCCUUCCCCCGCUUGCACACACACACACUCUCUCUAAAUUAAUAAAUAAACAUUAAAAAAAAGACAUUGGACUGUACUGAUUUAAUUUCCUUCCCUGAAUCAUUUCUCUCUUUUCCUACCACGAUUUCUUGCAAUCACGUUCCAAAUCACAUCCUUGUCCAUGGAUCUGCCUCUUGGGGGGAUUCAAGUCAAGACAGAUUCUCCACAAGAGCACUUCUAGGUAAGAACUCCCCGUUAGGUCUGGUUCUCAAACUCAGAUCACCAAGUCACUCAAAGUCAGGCUUAAUUCUUUGAUAGCUCUGCUACUGUUUUCCUUCAAGCACACCUUUCACUGGCGGGGCAGGCAGUUUCCUCCUCUGCUGCCUUGAUGUGUCUAUGGUUUGUACCUACAAACAGAACACAGCAAUCAAUACGCCUUUGCAAAGCCAAAGAUACAUUAUCUUCCAAAUUUUCCAGGUGGUGCAAUAUUCCAACAGAGGGAGUGAGGGACAAACGCACCUGGUUCCUUUGCUUCUGAUCGCGUCUUCUUGUGAGGCGGACACAUGGUGCUAUGUUUAAUCCUGCAAUGGUCAGGGCUGAAAUCCGGCUCUCAAUAUCAGAAAUCUUAAUGCAACAGAAAGACAGAAUGGUAGGCGAAAAAGCAC